rnacentral:tRNA from 1 species
CCCUUGGUAGCUCAGCUGGAAGAGCGUGAGACUGUAAUGGCUAAUUACAUAAUUACGUAAUCUCAAGGCCACUGGUUCGAUCCCGGUCCGAGGGA